AGAACUUUUUUUUUCUUUUUUUUUUUUGCAUUUUUUCUCUCCUCAUCUCCAACUCUUUAUCUCUCCCUCCCCCGCCACCUCUCUUCUCCCUCUCCCCUUCCCUCACCCGGGGUCUAGCCGAAUCCCUUUACAGAAGCUUGAAUUUUCCCUCUUAGGUGCAGCACCCAAUUGCUUGAAUUCCCACCUCGCUGAGAGGAUUAGCAUACAAGGACAAAGCAACAACAGAAAUUCCCACCUUCGAUUUGCAUUUUUUUCUCUCCCUCUCUUGCCAGACAAAGCAGCAACAGAAUUUUUUUUUCAAUUUUCCCUCUUCCCCCCUCCUCCCCUUUCCUCGCCACCCUCAU
rnacentral:lncRNA from 1 species